ensembl:lncRNA
UAUGAGGAGCGGCUGAAGGAGCUGGGAUUGUUCAGUCUGGAGUAGAGGAGGCUCGGGGGAGACCUUAUUGCUCUCUAUAACUACCUGAAGGGAGGUUGUAGUGAGCUGCGGGUCAGCCUCUUCUCUCGGGUGACUAGUGAUAGGACUAGAGGGAAUGGCUUCAAGCUGCACCAGGGAAGGUUCAGGCUGGACAUUAGGAAAUACUACUUCUCUGAAAGGGUGGUCAGGCACUGGAAUGGGCUGCCCAGAGAGGUGGUGGAGUCACCGACCCUGGAGGUGUUCAAAGAGCAUUUGGAUGUUGUGUUGAGGGACAUGGUUUAGCGAGAACCAUUGGUGAUGGGCAAGUGGUUGGACUGGAUGAUCCUGUGGGUCUUUCCAACCUUAGUAAUUCUAUGAUUCUAUGAUUCUAUGUUGCUAUCCAAAACAAGCAGAUAAAAAUCAUACACAGUUCAGACUUUAUUUAUUUAUUUAUUUAUUUAUUUCAUUUUAGAGGGCAGCACUGGUGCAUU